rnacentral:rRNA from 1 species
AACGAACGCUGGCGGCAUGCCUAACACAUGCAAGUCGAACGAGACCUUCGGGUCUAGUGGCGCACGGGUGCGUCACGCGUGGGAACCUUCCCUUAGGUUCGGAAUAACUCCCCGAAAGGGGUGCUAAUACCGGAUAAAGUCUUCGGACCAAAGAUUUAUCGACUUUGGAUGGGCCCGCGUUGGAUUAGCUAGUUGGUAGGGUAAAAGCCUACCAAGGCGACGUUCCAUAGCUGGUCUGAGAGGAUGAUCAGCCACACUGGGACUGGGACACGGCCCAGACUCCUACGGGAGGCAGCAGUGGGGAAUAAUGGACAAUGGGCGAAAGCCGGAGCCAGCAAUGCCGCGUGAGUGAUGAAGGCCUGAGGGUUGUAAAGCUCUUUUACCCGGGAUGAUAAUGACAGUACCGGGAGAAUAAGCGCCGGCUAACUCCGUG